UUUUGAUUAUAAUUUAAAGUCUGGUCUGCCCACUGAUUAAUUUAUUGAAGGGCUGCAGUAUUUUGACUGUACAAAGGUAGCAUAAUCAUUAGUCUCUUAAUUGGUGACUUGUAUGAAAGAUUUGAUGAAAUAUAAACUGUCUCUUUUUAAUUUGUAAAACUUAAUUUUUUAGUUAAAAAGCUAAAAUAUAUUUAAAAGACGAGAAGACCCUAUAGAGUUUUAUAAUUAAUAAAAUUAUUAUUUUAUAUAAAUAAUUUAAUAAAAAUUUAAUUAAUUAUUUUAUUGGGGUGAUAGAAAAAUUGAAUUAACUUUUUUUAAAAAUUAAACAUGGAUAAAUGAAAAUAUGAUCCGAUUAUAUCGAUUAAAAGAAUAAAUUACCUUAGGGAUAACAGCGUAAUUUUUUUUUUUAGUUCGAAUAAAAAAAAAAGUUUGCGACCUCGAUGUUGGAUUAAGAUAAAAUUUAAAUGCAAAAGUUUAAAAUUUUGAUCUGUUCGAUCAUUAAAAUCUUACAUGAUCUGA
rnacentral:rRNA from 1 species